CCUACACCUAACCCUAACCCUCACAGGAAACUUUGUGCAUUUUUACUUUCUCAAAAAAACUCAUUCUGUAUGAUUUAUAAGUGUUUUGAAAAAUGGGGACAUGGGUUAUGUCCUCAUAAGUCACCCUCUUCUUGUAAUACCUGUGUCAUACCCAUGUCAUUAUACAGAGUUGUGUCCUGAUAUGAUACAAAAACAAGAGCACACACACACACACACAGUUUUUCAAAAAAGGGCCCCAUUAGUUAAGGACCCUGGACUACAAAAUCAGUCAUAAGGGUCCAUUUCUGAAUAAAUAAUCUUUCAUUAUUACAUUUUUCAUACUAUUAUAUGUACAUAAAAUUAUAAACAUAUUUAUCAGUUUUGCUGAGGAAAGAAACCAAAUGAAAAGGCUGCCAAUUUAAUACAAUUAAUUACACAGUAAGUUUAUUAAUUAUCCAUAAAAAGCUCAUAAAUAAGUGUUUGUUUGCUGCAUAAACUACAUUGCUCAAAAGUUUGAUGUCAGUAAGAUUUAUUUUUAAGAAAUUAUUACUUUAAUUCAUCCGGGAUAAAUUGAAUUGAUCAAAAGUAACGGUAAAAAUAUUUGUAAUGUUACAAAAGAUUUAUAUUUUAAAUAAAUGCUGUUCUUCUGAACUUUCUAUUCAUCCAAAAAAAAAAAAAACUGAAAAAAAUUAAUAAAUCAUGGUUUCCACAGAAAUGGAAUGUUUUCAAUAUUAAUAAUAAUCAUGGUCAGGGCGUAUUUUAAGGGUGCUUCCAAUUCAAUAGAGCCAUAGCAGAGCUGAGGAUUUACAUUCACAAUAAAAGGUGAACCAGACCGUCAUAAAGCAAAGCUUAUCAGUGCCCAGCGUCUGGCAGCAGAGAGCUUGUGCUUUAUUCUGCCUCCCGCUGUCUGUAAACUGCUCUUCGGGUUUCCAGAUCCACAGGUGCUGCGGGGGACGAGCUGAGCCCCUUCUCUGUAAUCACGUAUGUUCCUGCUGAAUAUUUAGAGGAAUACAGGGCGAGUCAGCAUCUCCAAAGUGUUGAUGUCUCUGAUGGCAGAAACAACACUCAACAUCAAAUGGUCUCAGAUCUUCCAGAGAGAGAAGAUGGAGAAGGACAGGAGAGUGAAUGACAAACAGCAGCUUCCAACAGCUGGAAUCUACCACGGAGAGUGGAGUUGCACAGGGAAGCUGGGAAAUCUCUGGACAUCAGCAUCAUUGGUGGGCGGGGCAUGGGUAGUCGCCUUAGCAAUGGGGAGGUGAUGCGGGGCAUCUUUAUUAAACACAUCCUGGAGGAAGGUCCGGCGGGACACAACGGCACACUGAAGACAGGAGACAGGAUUUUAGAGCUGAAUCGAGAGGAGGGGAAAAGCUUCCUGUGUCUGCCCGUCGUUCCACAUAUUGGGAAAAACCGACUCGGACACACUGACUGAGAUUCCCGACAGACUCGCUCUGCAUCAUGGCCCUGGUGAGGAAGAGGAGGAUGAGUAUGGAUACAGCUGGAGUGAGUCUCAUAUUCGCUAUAACACACAGCGGCCAGCAGAGAGAGCGAUUACACUGACUCACGCUCAGCUAGAUACAGAGAGAAAGAAGUACACUGUAGGAUACUUCAUGUUUUUACAAACGAAGACAUACCCGAAAGGAGGUUUUGUCAGAUGUAUAUAACUUCUGGAUAAAUUUGCCCUCAAACACUCUGAGAACUGUGGCUCUGAAACACCUAGAAAAGAGCAAGUCCCUUGCACUCACUGUUUUACAGGAUUAAUGUCUCCUCUCUGUACCAGUUGUGACAUUCUGAUCAAAUCAAAUGAAGUGACAAUGCCGCAGAUGGAAAUGAAAGUUAAAUGUAUCACAGUCCCUUCAGGGCCUAUAAAAACACCUC